GAGUUUUUGAUGUCGCAGAUACUGCAUCAGGAACUGAUUGGAUAAUGAUCACUCACCAUCAGUUCCUAAUGCAUUGCCUUCAGCAUCUAAACA
rnacentral:pre_miRNA from 1 species